rnacentral:rRNA from 1 species
GACGAACGCUGGCGGCGUGCUUAACACAUGCAAGUCGAACGGAAAGGCGCUGCUUUUGUGGGUUUCUCGAUUGGCGAACGGGUGAGUGACACAUGAGGAUCCUGCCCUUGACUGUGGGAGAACUUCAGGGAACUGGGGCUAAUAUCGCGUAUGAUCUCCUGCUCCAUGUGGUUGGAUGGAAAGUUACGGCUGUGGUGGAUGUACUCGCGGCUUAUCAGCUUGUUGGGGUGGUAGGUGCGUACCAGGGCUUUGACGGGUAGCCGGCAUGAGAGGGUGAACGGCCACAAUGGGCCUGAGGUACGGCCCAGACGGCUACGGGCGGCAGCAGUGGGGAAUAUUGCAGAAUGGGGGGAAGCCUGAUGCAGAAACGCUGCGUGCGGGAUGCCGGCCUUCGGGUUGUAAACAGCUUUCGACUGUGACGAAGCGUGAGUGACGGUAAUGGGUAAAGAAGCAACGGCUAACUACGUG